rnacentral:lncRNA from 1 species
AUGAGACAUCAGAGUUACAAGUGACUUGCUGAGGAUUCUGGGGAUGGGGGGAGCAGUUGGAGAGAAAAAAGGGAUUCUUUGUAGUAUUCUUAUAACGCCAGUCUAAGUCUGAAAUUAGUUCAAAAGGGGAGGACCUGGCGGGAAAGACAAUUGCAAAGCACUGAACACCAUUACCAUCUAUUCUGCCUGGCUUAAGGGAUGACCCAACAACGAUCUGGUCCAUGAGCCUCUGAGCUUCAUUGCCUGGGAAAGAUGGGCAGUCCCCCUUCAUCAGUCACUUAAAACUGUUACGGUGCAAGGGAAAUUAAAAAGAUGACUGAA